CAGGCAGGUGGUUUUCCCAGGGCGAGGCUCAUCCCCUGCACUCCGGGUGUGCUGACCCCUGCGAUUUCCCCAAAUGCGGGAAACUCAACUGCAUAAUUUGUGGUAGUGGGGGACUGCGUUCGCGCUCUCCCCUG
rnacentral:snRNA from 1 species